UGUGGGAGCGAGCUUGCUCGCGAUGGCGGCUAGUCAGAUAACAUCAAUGUUGACUGACCGACCGCUAUCGCGAGCAAGCUCGCUCCCACA
rnacentral:misc_RNA from 3 species